rnacentral:rRNA from 1 species
UACGAAGGGGGCUAGCGUUGCUCGGAAUCAUUGGGCGUAAAGCGCACGUAGGUGGCUUGUUAAGUCGGGUGUGAAAUCCCUGGGCUCAACCCAGGAAGUGCACUCGAAACUGGCGAGCUUGAGUACUGAAGAGGGUCGCGGAAUUCCCGGCGUAGAGGUGAAAUUCGUAGAUAUUCGCAAGAACACCAGUGGCGAAGGCGGCUCACUGGCCCGGUACUGACGCUGAGGUGCGAAAGCGUGGGGAGCAAACAGG